UGAGACUGCGAACGGCUCAUUAUAUCAGUAAUAAUUUCUUCGGUAGUUUCUUUUAUAUGGAUACCUGCAGUAAUUCUGGAAAUAAUACAUGCUGUAAGAGCCCUGUAUGGGGCUGCACUUAUUAGAUUGAAGCCGAUUUUAUUGGUGAAUCAUGAUAAUUGAGCAGAUUGACUUUUUUGGUCGAUGAAUCGUUUGAGUUUCUGCCCCAUCAUUUGUCGACGGUAGUGUAUUGGACUACGGUGACUAUAACGGGUGACGGAAAGUUAGGGCUCGACCCCGGAAAGGGAGCCUGAAAAACGGCUACCACAUCCAAGGAUAGCAGCAGGCGCGUAAAUUACCCACUGUGGACUCCACGAGGUAGUGACGAGAAAUAAUCGAUGCGAAGCGUGUAUGCGUUUUGCUAUCGGAAUGAGAGCAAUGUAAAACCCUCAUCGAGGAUCAACUGGAGGGCAAGUCUGGUGCCAGCAGCCGCGGUAAUUCCAGCUCCAGAAGCAUAUGCUAAAGUUGUUGCAGUUAAAAAGCUCGUAGUUGAAUUUCUGGCAUGGGCGACCGGUGCUUUCCCUGAAUGGGGAUUGAUUGUCUGUGUUGCCUUGGCCAUCUUUUUCUUUUCUUUUUUGGUGAGAAAUCUUUCACUGUAAUCAAAGCAGAGUGUUCCAAGCAGGUCGUAUGACCGGUAUGUUUAUUAUGGGAUGAUAAGAUAGGACUUGGGUGCUAUUUUGUUGGUUUGCACGCCUGAGUAAUGGUUAAUAGGAACAGUUGGGGGUAUUCGUAUUUAGGAGCUAGAGGUGAAAUUCUUGGAUUUCCGAAAGACGAACUAGAGCGAAGGCUUUUACCAAGCAGGUUUUCAUUAAUCAAAAACGAAAGUCUGGGGAUCAAAAAUAAUA
rnacentral:rRNA from 1 species